ensembl:lncRNA
UUUCUUAAAAUUAUUGCUUUAUUAGCAGCCCAUAACAUCAUCAACAUGCAUAUUUCUGUGAUUUAGAUUCAAUACAUAUAUUUCAAAAUAUCAGAUCUGAAAAAUGCUCUCCAUUUUUAUCAUAGGCCUAUUCAAUAAAAUAUAUACCUUUGGUGUAAUAUGUUUUAUUGUAUAUAGCAAACCAUUUUUACUAUCAUCAAAAAUAUAUUUUAGCACUUGUGAAUUACAGGGGACUUUGAUUCCUCAGAUAACCCACAGUAUUGGAUACAGUAUCUUGAACUGGCUCAUAAAUAUUUAGACAUGUCAAAUGUACAUUUUCUGUUGGAAAUGGCAAGUGAAAGAUCUUCAAGAUGUCUAAAUUUACUAAUAAUUAAGCUACUUAAGCUAUCUUUAUGCUACUUUGUUAGAUGCAUCAUAAGACAUUAUUUUCAUUGAAAAUAUGCUUUAAAUAAGGCAAGUUUUGUAAGAAUUUAAACAGUGGUUUUUGUUACAAAGAAAAGCUUUUCUUAUAAAGGUGGUCAUGACUCCCUUGCUAUUAUGAAAUCACUACACACAAAGCAAUAAAAUUACAGAGCUAAACAUCCUCCGAGGAUGAGAUCACAGUGAAGAAAGCUGUGAUAUACUUUAUGCUGUUAGUCAUGUUGUAUCAUAUCGCAUCAUAUAAUGAUACCACAAUAGAAGAGAGCUGGUUAUUUACACAGUGGUUCUGACUGGCAAAUGUAAACAGAUAUGAGUCAAGCACCUCAGCAGUGCAUUGACUUGUUAGUUCACCUUUAGGGUUUUGCAAUGUUGUUCAUUAGUUCCGUUCUCAACUUGACAUGAGGCACCUAUUUUUCAGGUAAGAAACUGCUCAGUUGAUGAAGUGUCAAUGAGAUUUUCAAGUCAAUAUGAAUUUGUUCCCUUUUAGUUCAUUAUUAAGUCAAGCUAUGAUCCAAGAAAGAUGAAAUGCUGUUAGAUUUGUAUGCAGUUCAAGGAAUUAAAUGACAUAGAGUGACUGUUGGUUUCUAAGACAUAUAAGCUCAAAAACAUUUCCAGUACAGCAAGUAAUAAUUUAAGCAAACUGUUUAGGUAAAGACCACAUUUUAAUAUAGAUUAACAGAAGUCUGAUGACUAUUCAGAAACUCUUAGUCCAGUUGAAAUGAUUGAAAUUGGCUUGAAAAAGCUGAAGUGUACUCAGUCAGUGAAGGUAUGAACACUUUAGCAUUAAAAGGUAUGACAGUUGGAGUGUCUUUCCAGAAAAAAUGCUCCUUCUUUUUAAGGUCAAUUUGAAGGUGAAUUCUGUUGUGAAUCACUUUUCUCCACCAGAGGACUUCAUUGUAAACAGGGAUAUAUUGUUGCAGCAGACAGCUUGUGUAGCUAUUCUUCCUCACGUCACAGUAUACGCUUCCCCUCAGUGAAGAGGUGCCUGCUGUCUGUGGAAAGUCCACUUAGCAAGUCCUGUUCUAAGAGCCAUGUGUUCCUCCUUGUACCAGGGUCAUAAGUAGCAUCUUCUCUCUUUUGCUCUUUAGAAGUGUCUAAUUGUUCUAGAUUAUCACACUAUGUUCACCAUUGUGGUAAACUAAUUAUUAUUUUGGAAAGCUUAUCUGUGGCAGAUUACGAAAUAACUUAUAGUCUCAGGCUAUUCUCAGGUGAGAAGGAUGUUAAAUUCUCAUUCUGCAAAUAUUCUUCAUUUCCCAAGUUUUCAUGAGGUUAAGAUUCUACCAACCAGACAAAACUGUCAUCCUCAUGCACCAUUUGUCUUAAAUGCAUUAAUCUUCUUCUUACAGAGGUUUAGAACUUCUGUACUGUACACAAGUGAGAAAUAACGGUUCUUCCUUGCUUAUGUUUCUAAGAGGUGUUUCCCCAGAAACUCCUCAGGGGUACUUCCUGAUUUCAUGAAUUACUGUCUCUUCAGAAAGAAUGGUGGUUUGUAUUUCUCUUCCCAACCUUCCUACACCUUUUUUCAUGCCCAAAUAGCUUGAGCUGAUGAAUCAUGACUCUUUUCUUUCCUUGCUGUUUAUCCUCCUUCCCUUGUAACUUUGAAGAUAAUCAGCCAGAUAUAUUUCUCCUCCCAAAAGCUAUUUUAAAAUUGAAAAGUCAAUUGAGAAUGCCAUUCCUAGGAGGGGUGGUGAGGUUUAAUCUCAAAAAAAAAUUAGUAAUCAUGUCCAUGUUACGAACAAAGCAAUAUAGAUAGAGGUGCUUGUCAAAAAUCCUAAUGAAUUUUCAAUUACCUUGAUUUCUCACUUCACAUUUCCUAAUAUAUUUCUUAAUAUAUUUCUAAUUUCAUCUUUUAAAAGAAGUCCUUGGAGGUUUUAGAAUCAGGACCACACCUGGCCAGAAGAAGCAGCCUGAAAGUGGUAGGAAUAGUUUUGUGAUUUCUUUUAUUGAGCCAGGUGAUGUGGACUCUUCUGUUUCAAUCUAUUUCAAGUGGUUUAUCUCCAUUUAAUGGGGGAAAAGAGGGGGUAGGAAGUAUCCAUGCAUAAUUUUGUAAUUCCCUCAAGGAUAUCAUUGUGUUAUUAUACAGGAGAUGUCCCACUGUAUAAUAGGAUCUGUAUGUCAAUGCUCUGUAACUUGAGUUUCUAAAUACCAUGCAAGAAAUUUGAUCAAAGUGUUUUCAGUGUAGGAGAUAUUUCACUAUAAUAUUUAACCAUAGGUCUAAUAAAACAGAUGUUUUAUUU